UUUAAGGUCUAAUCUGCCCUAUGAGGAAUUAAAUGGCCGCGGUAUUUUGACCGUGCAAAGGUAGCAUAAUAAUUAGUUUUUUAAUUGAAAGCUGGAAUGAAUGAUUGGACGAGAAAAUGACUGUCUCAGAUUAAAUUAAUUAGAAUUUUAUUUUUAAGUAAAAAAGCUUAAAUUUUUUUAAAAGACGAGAAGACCCUAUAGAGUUUUAUAAUUAUUUAUAUAUACAGAUUUUUAGGAUUGUAAUUUUAGUAUAUUUGUAUUUAUUUUAUUGGGGUGAUAGAAAAAUUAAAUUAACUUUUUUUAUAUUAAAACAUUAAUGUAUGAUUAAAUGAUCCAUUUUUUUAUGAUUAAAAGAUUAAAUUACCUUAGGGAUAACAGCGUAAUUUUUUUUUAGAGUUCUUAUCGAAAAAAGAGAUUGCGACCUCGAUGUUGGAUUAAAAUAAAUGUUUGGUGUAGGGGCUAAAUAAUUAGGUCUGUUCGACCUUUAAAAUUUUACA
rnacentral:rRNA from 1 species